rnacentral:rRNA from 1 species
GGGGGGUGCAAGCGUUAUUCGGAAUCACUGGGCGUAAAGAGCGCGUAGGCGGUCUCUUAAGUCAGAUGUGAAAGCCCGGGGCUCAACCCUGGAAGUGCAUUUGAAACUAAGGGACUUGAGUAUGGGAGAGGGAAGUGGAAUUCCUGGUGUAGCGGUGAAAUGCGUAGAUAUCAGGAGGAACACCGGUGGCGAUGGCGACUUCCUGGACCAAUACUGACGCUGAGGCGCGAAGGCGUGGGGAGCAAACAGGAUUAGAUACCCUGGUAGUCCACGCAGUAAACGUUGAACACUAGGUGUAGCGGGUAUUGACCCCUGCUGUGCCGCAGCUAACGCAUUAAGUGUUCCGCCUGGGAGUACGGCCGCAAGGCUA